rnacentral:rRNA from 1 species
AGAACGAACGCUGGCGGCAGGCUUAACACAUGCAAGUCGAACGCACCGCAAGGUGAGUGGCAGACGGGUGAGUAACGCGUGGGAAUCUACCCAAUACUACGGAAUAGCUCCGGGAAACUGGAAUUAAUACCGUAUGUGCCCUACGGGGGAAAGAUUUAUCGCCGGAGGAUUGGCCCGCGUUCGAUUAGCUUGUUGGUGAGGUAACGGCUCACCAAGGCGAUGAUCGAUAGCUGGUCUGAGAGGAUGAUCAGCCACAUUGGGACUGAGACACGGCCCAAACUCCUACGGGAGGCAGCAGUGGGGAAUAUUGGACAAUGGGCGCAAGCCUGAUCCAGCCAUGCCGCGUGAGUGAUGACGGCCUUAGGGUUGUAAAGCUCUUUCGCUCGGGACGAUAAUGACGGUACCGAGAUAAGAAGCCCGGCUAACUUCGCGCCAGCAGCCGC